UCCUUAGCUCUAACAUCGAUGUUAUUUUCGAUUGCACUAGGAGGCAGCGAUCUAGUCUAGUUCAUUUAUUGAAGGUGUUCACCUUUUGUGUGAUUAUCAGUUCACGUUUGGUGUGAUUUUCUAUUCAGCAGGCUUACUAUUUCAUCAUCAGGUAAACUGCAAAGCUCUGCGUCUGAUAGAAUAUCCCAUGUUAUAGCUAGUUAUAAAUAUGUCUAGAUGCAAGGAAAGAAAAAAAACUCCAGCCAACUUUUGCUUCGCUGAAAUAAAUCAUGCUUUGUUUUGUUGUCGAGCAACAACAUGGAUUUCACAGUAACCAGAAACACACGAACAUGAUCACUAAAGAAGUUGAAGCCUAAGAAUGGUAUGAUCAACAAGCACCGUUUGUUGCUCUGGAGUCAAAUGAAAAUCACCAUUAUUUUAGGUACACCCAGUGCUAGAGUCAUAGGCAUCUAAACCUUCUAAAAAUAAAAUGAAUGACAAGUUAUCUGCACUUAAUUUUAUGAGCAGUACUACAUGAUACUUGUUUCGACUGUGAGCGUUCAGAACACAUGUUGGUGAUGUUGAGUAAUGGCGAAGGAUCUCGUGACAUAGCUCCUGCCCUCUUAUCAUUUCAACUAUACUCGUCCAUGGCAGCCUGUGCCCCCACCACCGCGUCCACCUGUCCUCGAACACCCUCACCAGCCUUCAGUUCAAUCCACCUCCUGUUUCUGAAAAUCAGUUCCUUCAGUUCCACCAUACUUAAAAAGUCAGUUCAACCUCUCCUAUUUUUCAAGAACACGUACACCCUGAUUUCGACCUAGGAGAACGGUCAUUUUCUGGAUGAUUUUUUCUUUCACGGCUCACUAGUGUCAUGUUUUGCUAUCGAUGCUGUCUAAUUUCUUCUCCUUGUGAGUGUUAGAGAACAAUGUAGUGUUGCCUAUCAACUAAUGGUUUGGCCUGUUUCAAGUUUCGGCCUGGUUGAACUUUUGAUUGAACAUUGGUUUGUUGUCAGUUCUAGUGCGCUCAAGCAUAAGGUGGGAUUGAACUAUUAUUGAUGGAUCACUACUAAUAAUUCAACUUACUAUUUUUUGCAGCAUGCAACAAAAAAGCAAGAUUCACAAGUUCAUCUUCUGGAUGCUUUUCAGUACAUCUACUUCCCGUUGGUAAGUCAAAUUUGUUCUGUGUUUCCAUCUUCCUAUAGCACAAACAAGUGCUUGUGGUUAUGCAGGAUAAUGAUAUUGUACACAAAAUGGCUUAUGGGAUAUCAGGAUAAUGUGUAUACAAAAUGAUUUUUGGUUAAUAUUUUGUAUGAUCCAUUUGACAGAAAAGAUUCUUGUUAUUUGUGGAGUUUAUACAACUCUUCUGUGAUCAUAGCUUAUUCAUGUUGGUAGUCCAGGUGUAAACACAAAAUUAAGUUCGUGUGCAUCUACAGGGAAGGUUCGCCUACAAAAAUAGAGUUCAAUUCGGUUAAAAAAAGUAAAUUUUACAGAAAAAAUGUGUUUGAAAGUUCAAUUACAGUCACUAAGAAAGUUCGUACACUUUAUUUUCAGGAGUGCAUAUCUUGCGCGUGCUGCUACUAAUCUGAACUUAUUGUCCAAAUCAUACUAAUACUGAUGAAUAUCGAGUUGAUAAAAAAUGUAGUAUUACAUGAUACCGUAGUACAAGACAAUGCGCAUGAUAAUGUCGGAUUUCGGGUUCCGGCAGACCCUUGAGGUUCGAACACUGGGGUGCGCAUGGAGAUUCAACCCUCUAUUGGCUCGCUCCUCACCGAAUCGCUAGGACCUAAACUACUAACUGAACAACACAAGAGACACAAGAUUUAUACUGGUUCAGGCCACCAUUGUGGUGUAAUACCCUACUCCAGUGUGUGGUAUGGUGGAUUGCCUGUUGGGCUGAUGAGGAACAAUACAAAGGGAGAACAGCCUCGCGAGGGUCUGUUCUUGGCUGGCGUGAUGAACUGCUAGGGGGAGUUCAGUCGCCUCUCUCUCUCUCUCUGUGUGUGUGUGUGUGUGUGUGUCUUCCUAUCCUUGUUCUCUCGAUCCGGUCCCCCCUCUACCCCGGGGGUGGCUAGUCCUAUUUAUAGGCAAAGGCCCUGGGCCUCUUCCCAAAUAUUGAGCGGGAAGGGCACCAACAAUUGGCCAUUUUGAAGGGGAACAGCGGGUACACUUAUCCUGACUAAAGUUGGUCCUCGCCUGUCAAAGGCUCCGGUGAUGACGCCGACUUGGGCUCCACAAUGACUUCCUUCCGGCCGUUGGGCUGGUCUUGGUCUUGUUGCACCGAAAUGGACGACUUUGCUUGAUGCUCUCACCUACGCUUGCUCCCUUUGCACCAAAGAGGAAAGGAGGACACUGCGUGGGCUGGCGCCCGACUGGCGCCCUUGGUCAUCAUGGCUUGCGUCAGGGGCACCUCGCGAGGUACCCUUCCUUGAACUCUCCGCCUCCUCAUGAGCCUGCCUGAUGAGGCCGUGCCUGAGGAAGCUCCUUGUCGUCCGCCCCGCGAGGCUUGGCCCCUUGCGAGGGUCUUGAGAUUGCGUUGAUGGAGAUGGGCUGUGCUGGGCCUCCUUUAAGCCACGCCGCAGGCCACAGCCAGGCAAGUCUGGGGACCCCCGCUCCCAGAAUGCCGACAGUAGCCCCCGGGCCCACGGUGCGCCCGAACUUGGCUGAGCAGAGAGGUGAAAGGGCAAGUGAGAAGCGUCGCGGGUCCUAACAGCCUGCGGCCUUGGGCGUCGCGGGGCGGUUGAUUGGACGGGGCGACUCCGCUUCCCCAUGAUGCCUUGGUAACCGCACGGAUUCGACAGGUCCCUGCAUGCCAAGCGGGUCAUGAUUACCUGCGAUCGUGGAGGUCGGCGGUUGGCCUUCGCCAGCUAUAAGUAAGGAACGGCAUGCGCCCUUCCAGCCCAUCCCCUCUUGCUUCCCCUUCUUCUCCAUGGCUCCACCAAGGAAGUUCUCGGCCACAGAGAAAGGGAAGGACCGCCAGGCCGAGUCUUCCUCUCCCCCGCCCAAGCGCGGUCGAGGUCGUCCUCGCAAGCAUCACGUGGCCUCCACGGCGGUCCCCCGUGGUCGCGGAGGUGGCUCUUGGCGCGGCGACGAGCGGCUGGCCAUGGUCGGCGGGCGUGCUCCGGCCGUGCGACCCCCGAGGCCGCGCCUCCACGCCGCGGAGGCACUGCCGGAGUUCCUGGUGUGGGCGGUAGAGCCGUCCGGCGCCCGGCUUCAGCUCCCUCGCUUCCUCCUGGGUGAGCUCCCAGAUGGCGCCCUGGGUGGCCUUUGGCUCUAGGCUGAUAGCUGCUGCAGCCAGGCUUCAUGGGCUUCUCUGGAGGUCUCUGCUACAGGGAACCUGUUCCUGACCCACAGCUGGCAGACGUUUGCUCGCACGCGUGGUCUCCGCCGCCGGUGCUCCCUGCACUUCAAGUACGACGGCGACGCCACCCUCUACGUGAGGGUGUUUGGGGAAGAUGGUCGCCACAUGGGGUGCUGUCCUAAAGACGACGACCGCGGCUGGGGACUCAGCCCCGGUGUGGACGGAGAGGGCAGCGCGCGGGCGACUGGCGAUGUCUGUGACUCCUCAAGCUUCACCAGCUCUUCUUUGGGCAGUGACUCUUCUACCAGCAGCCGCGGUCAGCCUCCACACCGCCGCGCCUGCUUGGAGGGCGGCAGCGGGUCUGCUCGCCGUCGUGCCCCGGUGAAGCGCGAGAGGGAGUCCGCCUAAGCUCCGGAGGCGGCUCGAGUCUUCCAAGAGGGCCGGCGCGGGACGUGCUUCGCCUGCUUUUGUUCUUUUCCUUUCUUUUCUCCUGCGCAAAAAGACAACAAUGUGUGGCCCCGUGGGGGCGCGUUUGGGUUAAUGUCGUCAAUCAUUGUACUGCUUUUGUUAUUCCGGUAUUGCUCCUUUCCGUUUUAUGCCCAAUCGCAAGUAAUCACAAGCCUCAGCAGCAGGGGCGACCGACCCGGGCCAUGUAUUCGCGUCAUGAUGCCCGUGAGGCAUGGUCCGGAGGGGUGCUCCGGUAGUAGACCUGGGCCGUGAAACUUGAGCGAUAGGGGCAAGAACGCUCGCGAGGGCUCCCGGGGCUUCCGCCUCGCGAGCCCCCGUGUAAGAGAAAUCGAGGCUGGAGAGCGAAAGAAGCCGAAGAACCACAGGUCAAAAAGCAGCGAUAAUUUCGAUAAAAACUCCAAAUGGGAAUAAACUAGCCAACUGCAGAAAGCAAAUGAAAAAUCCGCGUCCGACACCUAGUCUAGUCUUCGACGUCUUCUCACCAGCGCGGAGCUAAGUGCUGCCACUGGGCGUGGGAGGGAGCCCCAGGGCCUGCGGCCGGCACCCCUGAGACUCCGGGGCAUGUACAACCCCAACUCAUUAUUACGUGAGAGUGUCACGGGCGGCGAGCUUCACAGGCAUUGGCCUUCUUCACAGGCUCCGGGCCUUUCUUCGGGGAAGCAAGCUUCACGGGCGUUGGCCCUCUUCACAGGCUCCGGGCCUUUCCAAAACGCGACAGCUUCACAGGCAUUUGCCUUCUUCACAGGCUCUGGGCCUUUCCAAAAAGAUGAGCUUCACAGGCAUUCGCCUUCUUACAGGCUCUGGGCCUUUUCAAAAAAGAUGAGCUUCACAGGCUCCAGGCCUUUUCCAAAAAGAUGAGCUUCACAGGCAUUCGCCUUCUUCACAGGCUCUGGGCCUUUUCCAAAAAGAUGAGCUUCACAGGCAUUCGCCUUCUUCACAGGCUCUGGGCCUUUUGCAAAAAGAUGAGCUUCACAGGCAUUCGCCUUCUUCACAGGCUCUGGGCCUUUUCCAAAAAGAUGAGCUUCAUAGGCAUUCGCCUUCUUCAUAGGCUCUGGGACUUUUCAGGGCUAAAACCUCCGGAGGUGCUGGAUGUUCCACGCAUUCUGUACAGGUACUCCCUCCUGAGUCUCCAAGUGCACGGAGCCGGGCCUAGAAACAUGAACAACCUUGAACGGGCCCUCCCACAUAGGAGAGAGCUUAUGUAGUCCCUCCUUGGAGAGGACCCGCCGGAGCAUGAGGUGCCCUACCUCGAGGGUCCUGGGGCGGAUGUUGCGGCAGUGGUAUCGCCGGAGUGCCUGCUGGUACCUUGCCGCUCGCAGCGCAGCUUCUCGACGACGCUCCUCCCCCAGCACGAGGUCCGUCCCCCGCAUGGCGUCCUGCAGCGUCUCAUCAAACGGCAGGACCCGCGUGGAUCAACGCCUAACCUCGUGAGGGAGGACCGCUUCGGCUCCGUAGACCAGGAAGAAGGGGGUCUGUCUAGUCGACUUGGUCGCGGUUGUGCAGAUGGACCAUAACACGGACUGAAGCUCGUCAUACCAGCCUCUACCGCAGGCCUCCAGUUUCUUCUUGAAUGUCCUGGUCUUGAGGCCCCUUAGGACCUCUGCGUUGGCCCACUCGGCCUGGCCGUUGUUCGGGGCUGCGCCACCGAAGCGUAGCAUAUCUGCGUCCCAAGGUUAGCACAAUAUGUUUUGAAAAGGUUACUGGUGAACUGCGAACCGUUGUCGGUGAUGAUGCGGUUCGGCAAUCCGAACCGGCUCACGAUGCCCUUGAUAAACUUGACCGCAGAACCAGCAGGGAUGGUGCGGACGGCCUCGACUUCGGGCCACUUGGUGAACUUGUCCACGGCGACGUAGAGGUAGCGGUAGUCCCCUAGCGCCCGAGGAAAAGGGCCCAGGAUGUCCAGCCCCCAGACCGCGAACGACCAAGUGAGGGGGAUGGUUUGCAGACUUCCUGCCGGCUGGUGGAUCUGCUUGGCAUAGAAUUGGCAGGCCUCGCAAGCCUUCACAAGCUCAACAGCGUCAUUGAGCACAGUGGGCCAAUAGAAACCGCUGCGGAACGCCUUGCCGACGAGGGUCCGUGACGAUGAAUGAUGCCCACAGUCUCCACCAUGUAUAUCUGCCAGCAGUCCUUUACCUUGCUCCUUGGUGAUGCAGCGCAGGGACACAUUGUUCGGUCGUUUCCGGUAGAGCUCUCCAUCCAUGAUGCAGUAUGCUGUGGCUUGCCACACCACAUGCUCUGCUUCCUCCUCCUUCUCCUGCAGGGUCCCUUGUGUUAAGUAACUCCUGAGCUCUGUGAUCCAGCACCCCUCUUGAGGUUCCAUCGUCAGGAGCAGGCGUGCUCCUGAGGCCGGGCCACAGGCUGGGGCUCCCGAGGCAGGUGGCUGAGGGAGCUCCACCCGAGGCUGUGCUGUGCUUGACAAUGGUGGCAGGGCUGAAGGCUUGAAGAGCCGUUCCUCAAAGAUGCCCGGCUCCUGGGGCAACCUCCUGGAGGCUCGUUUGGCGAUAUCGUCAGCCUCUUGAUUAGUGCCGCGGGGCACAUGCUGCAGCUCCAACCCCCAGAACUGUCUCUCCAUCCUGCGGACCUCUGCAAGGUAGACCUCCAUGUGCUCAUCUCUUGGCUCGUACACCUUGUUGGAGAAAUUGACGAGGAGCUGCGAAUCGCCCUUUAUAGUAAGACGCUUCACUCCCAGGGCUGCGGCGGCCUUCAGGCCCGCUAUCACCCCCUCGUACUCUGCUAUAUUGUUGGAGACCUUCUCGCCCUGCUGGAAACAGAUCUGCACGGCGUAGUAGAGCUUGUCCUAAGCGGGAGAUACGAGCACCGCCCUAGCUCCAGCGCCCUGCCUGGAGAACGCUCCGUCGAAGUACAUAACCCAGCCCUCUGGCGCUUCACUUCCUGGGGAGAGGGAUCGAUCCUCUCCGGCCCUGAGGCCCGGUGCCUCUGUCCAUUCGGCCACGAAAUCUGCCAGCGCGGCCCCCUUGAUGACCCUGGUCGUGCUGAAUUCGAGCUGGAAUGCUUGCAGUUCAAUGUUCCACUCGGCGACCCUUCCGGCUGAGUUGGGGCUCUUGAGCACCCUCUCCAAGAGGUAUGCCGAGACAACCUUGAUUGGAUGAUCCUGGAAGUAGUGCCGCAGCUUGCACGAAGCCACUAGUAGCGCGAGGAGGAGCUUCUGCGGCAUGGGGUACCGUGCCCUCGCAUCCCGUAACACUGUGCUGACGAAGUACACCGGAUGCUCGACAAGGCUAGGGGCGUCAGUGCUGGUGGCGUCCUCCGGAAGCCGUGGUACCUCCUGAGGUGGCGAAGCCUCCAGAAGCUGGGUUCCUGGAAGGAGGGCCUCUUCCGGCCCUCGUGCGCUCUGCUGCGACGGCAGAUCUCCUUCAGUCGUGGUGGUGGCUUCUGCGAGUUCCUUUUGACUCAGCCUUGCCUUGGCUUGGGUGGCUGCCGUGGUCUUGGCCCGACGCUCCUCUCUAACUGCCACCAGGGCUGCGCUAGCGGAGUAGGGAGUGGCGACGAGGUAGAGUACCAAGGGCUCCCGAGGGCGCGGGGCCACCAUCACUGGAGGGCUGGUUAGGUACCUCUUGAGAUCUUGGAACGCCUUGUCGGCCUCUUCAGUCCAUUCAAAGGGCCCCUUCGUCUUCAUCAGCUGGAAGAAAGGCAGCGCCCGCUCCCCCAAUCGGGAGAUGAAACGCCCCAGCGCCGUCACGCGCCCUGUGAGCUUCUGCAUUUCCCUAAGGGUCUUUGGUGGGCUCAUGUCCUCAACUGCCUUGACCUUUUCUGGGUUGGCCUCGAUGGCUCGGUGGGAUACGAGGAAACCCAGGAGCUUGCCCGAGGGAACUCCAAGCACACACUUCUCCGGGUUGAGUCACAGCCUCACUACAUUGAGGCUCGCGAAGGUUUCCUCCAGGUCUUGUAUCAGGGUCUUGGCCUCACGAGACUUCACUACGAUGUCGUCGACGUAAGCCUCCACAUUCUUCCCGAGCUGCGGGCCCAAGGUGAUGUGCAUGAGCCGCUAGAAGGUUGCCCCCGCGUUGCGCAGCCCGAAUGGCAUGCAUGUAUAGCAGUACACCCCACACGGGGUUAGGAAGGUCGUCUUCUCCACGUCUUCCACCGCCAUUUUGAUCUGGUGAUACCCGGAGAAGGCAUCCAAGAAGCAUAGCAGGUCACACUCGGCGGUGGAAUCGACGAUCUGGUCGAUGCGAGGGAGCGGGAAUGGAACUUGCGGGCAUGCUUUGUUGAGGUUGGUGAAGUCGACACACAUGCGUUCCUUUCCUCCCUUCUUCGGCACAACCACGGGGUUGGCCAGCCAAUCCGGGUAUCGAACCUCGCGAAUAACCCCUGCGGCUUCUAGCUUGCGGGUGUCUUGGAUGAUGAAGGCCUGCUUUUCAGUGGACUGCCUCCUCGCCUUUUGCUUCACAGGACGCACGUUGGGACACAUGUUGACGUGGUGCUCGAUUACGCCCCGUGGGAUCCCUGCUAGCUGAUCGGGAUCCCAGGCGAACACCUUCUUGUUUGCACGCAGGAACUUGACCAGGGCUUCCUCCUACUCGGGCUCGAGGUUGGCGCCUAUGGUGAAAGUGGCGUUAGUAGACCCGUCCUCGUCGACAGGUAUCUGCUUGGUCUCCGCCUUGUCUUGGGUGAACAACUGCUUCUUCUUGGUGGGCGCAGCCCCCUUGGGCUUGGGGUUUCCGCAUUGGCGGGCCGCGCCGCCGCCGCCGUCUUGAGGGCGAGCUUGAGCACUCGCAUCGCACCUUCGGUGUCCCCGGGCACGGUGAGGAUGCCGUUGCUCCCGGCAUCUUCAUGAGGUUGUACCCCGGGUAAGUCGCGGCCAUGAUUUGUCCAAUGUUGGAUAGCCAAGGAUGGCAUUGUAGGGGAGGCCGAUGGGGGCGAUGUCGAAGUCGACCAGCUCCAUGCGGAAGUUGUCGUGAGUGCCGAAGGUCACCGGAAGACGGAUUUGUCCCAAGGAGCUGGACGACCUGCCUCCUACGCCCGAGAAAGGCCGGCUGGGGCGCAGCCGCUCCCGGGGUAUGUAGAGGAGGUUGAAGGCCUCAACCGAGAGUACGUUGAGGCCCGUGCCACCAUCGAUGAGGGUCCUGGUGACAGCCACCUGGAAGAUGGUGGGUGUCCAGAGCAUGGGGAGCGCACCCGAGCCGACCGAGUUGGUGGGGUGGUCCCCGGAGUCGAAGGUCAGCCCGGCCGACGGCUCCGUCCGGCCCAAGGGAGCCGCCUGCCGCGUGGUGGCGAUGCCGACCCGGCGGACGAAUGGCUUGAAGUGGCGGCUGGAGGGCGGCGCCUGCGAGCCUCCCAGGAGGGCCGCGACGACCGAAGGAGCCAGCGCGACGGGGUGGGUGAUGAAGAAGCUGCACGGCUCCUCCCCAGAGGUCGCUGGGGAGCGCAGGGGCGAUGCUUGCUGCCCAUUCCCCGCCGGGCCGGUGGCGGUGUAGACGGCAGGCGACGGGGAACGAUGAGGGCGCCCGUCAGCGGGAGCCGUCUGGGCGACACGAAAAGCGAGGGUGGCUCGGCGCUCGGCGCGAGCCCGACGAGCGUCAGACAUGGACGCGAUGGUCGGAGAAGAGAGACGACGGAAGGCAAAUUCCGGCGCACCCCUACCUAGCACGCCAAAUGUCGGAUUUCGGGUUCCGGCAGACCCUUGAGGUUCGAACACUAGGGUGCGCGCGGAGAUUCAACCCUCUACUGUUUCGCUCCUCACCGAAUCGCUAGGACCUAUACUACUAACUGAACAGCACAAGAGACACAAGUUUUAUGCUGGUUCAGGCCACCAUUGUGGUGUAAUACCCUACUCCAGUGUGUGGUGUGGUGGAUUGCCUCUUGGGCUGAUGAGGAACAAUACAAAGGGAGAACAGCCUCGCGAGGGUCUGUUCUUGGCUGGCGCGAUGAACUGCUAGGGGGAGUUCAGUCGCCUCUCUCUCUCUCUCUCUCUUUGUGUCUUCCAAUCCUUGUGUCUCAUAAAUACAUGAUAAUGCUGCCAUGAUCUAUUAGGUAACUCAUCUCAGCAUGAUAAUGUUGCCACGAUUUAUAUAAUUUUGUAAAGAAGAUCUAUAUGUGCAAGUUUUCUGAUAAAAGAAAGAAGAAAAUCCACUAGCAAAUUUAGGGAAACAUGUGUACCUUGAGAAAAGUUUACAAAAUAAAUGCUAGGAGGUUCAUUUCGUGUACAUUUAAAUUGGUACUAGUUCGAAGAAAAAAGAAACGAAGUUCAAAAAGAAAAUUUAUGAGUUCACCUUCCAUAAAGUUUGUAAGUACAGAGAUAUCACCUUGAUGUAGUAUGUAACUAUGUAUUGCAAAUACAUCAGUUCACCUUGAAUAAAUUACCGAAGUGCACCGUGAAGAUUUCCAUUAGUUCGCUUAUAAAAAAACAGAAAGUAUUUGAAUAAAAUAUUUUGUGGGUAAGUAAACUAAUCAUGUUCUUUUAGUUUGGAGGGAAAACAUAAUAAGUUCGACGGAAAUAAAUAUGGAAGUUCAUAUUUCAAAACAAAUGAAGUAUUUGGGAAGUUAAAUGAAGUAUUUCAAAGUACACAUCUUUUUAGGUUUUGCUGUGAACAUGUAAUGUUACUGUACAUGAACUUGUUGUUCUUUUUACAUGAAUUUGUGCAUGCUAAAUGGUGGCUGUUGUGUGUGUGUAGGAAGGGUGGCAUGAAGCAGUUGAGUAGGUGUGCGUGGUAGCAUCUACUGAACUUAUUCAGACCUACAAAUAUAGUCCCACACAUCCUCCAGCGCACCGCCAGCCGCCAUUCCCUCCCCCGCGCCGCCGGACACUGCCUCCCUCCCCCGCGCCGACGGGCACCGCAACGACCACCCUCCCCGACUCACCAUCGCCACACCCCCUUCCCCAGCGUGCUGCCGCCACGCCCCCCCCUCCAGCUGCAUGCUCACGGUCUUCUGCAUCCACCGCUGACACGCAACCUCUUCUCCAAUUUCUCUACAUUAUGACAUUCAGUUGUGGUUCAACAAAAGAACAACAGCAGUACAUACAUCUCUUUCCUCUCUACUGCUCUUUUCUGUCGCUAAUUUGUUUCUCUCUGUACUGCAGCAUGAUGGAGGUUGGACGGACUGCAAGAAAAAAAAGCUCAGUUCUACACACAGGCCCAGCCCCCUGCACGCACUACUUCCUCCGGUCCCCGUCCAGGUAAGGGGCUCACACCAGUACAACUCUUCCUCCCUUAUCCGUCCGAGCACCUCCUGCCAUGCUCCUUCACGAGCGAGCUUUUGCUGGCACUGGUGCACACCGCCACAUGUUCAAAAGAGUGUCUUGGAAAAAGUUCAGAAGUUUGGUUCCAUGAAAAAUUGCACUUGCUCGUCUUGAAAGACCAUGAAAGUUCAUAAGUCAAGGUGCCCAGCACCUGUUUGAUGAAAUGUCAGGGGUGCGAGUUGCUCCUUGCCGUUUCGGAGCCUAUAAGUUCUGCUCCUUGCCGCUCGCCAUUGGCGCUCGCUUGUCGUGACAAAUAGGCUGAGCAACGCGAGAAGAGGCAGGCUGGUACCAAACCUAGUGUGGUGCUGCAUGUGCUUUUCAUCGUAGGAGAAAUCUGCAGCGUGAUAUAAUUGAGACUUCAUUUUCAUAGCAGCAUUGUAGGACAGAACAAUACAGAAUGCCUAUUUGUCUUCUCAAAGAUUGACUGUGUUUGUGCUGCUAUGUCUCUCUCUACUAAUUGGUGUGAUUAAAUUUAUAUUUUGAUCAUUGGAUCCUCGCUUGUAAAAUCUAGCAUGCACAAAAGUUUAGAAAAAGAGGCCCGAACAAAUUGGGUGCACUCUACCUCUUUGUUCUUAUGCUUGGUAAACCUUGUUCAGUUUGCAUUGGAGAACUUGUUCUAUUCCUGUUGCUCUCAAGCUAUAUGUUUAUAUGCCUAAAAAGAACUUCAACCUUCCUUUUGAUGUUUCUUUAUUGUCAAAUAGAGGCUAAAUAGUCUGGACAUAUGCAGUAAUAACAUUUCUUAUGGACCAGUACACAUAUUUAGAAAUUUAAUGUAGUUACAAAACAUGAAUCUCAUUCCCAAAAACCUGCAAUAAACAUCAAUUUAUAUAUUGACAUCUGCUGUCGGUCCUUUUCUUUUGUAUGUUCAGUUCGACAUAUGGUGGUUCUUCAGAUCAACAUUGUGUGCUUUUUUCAAUUCAUCCUGCGGGUGAAAAAAGGAGCUCCCUUUUAGUCCAAAUGGAUCCAAAAAAUGGGUGAUGCAUUACAGUUCAAGACUAUUCUGUUGGUUUAGGCUCCAUCUUGCUAGUUUGGCAAACAUUUUUUGCAUCUACUUGCGGAUGGCUUCCAUUUUGUGCUCCCAUGGGUGUUUGUUCUUAUUCCUGAAAGAAAGAAAAUAAUCUAUUGCAUGUGAUAGUUCAUCUGAUUUGUAUGAAUUUUUUACCUAUUUUGCUCCAUUUUUUCCCUUGCAGAUCAUGAUCUUGAGAGGCUCGCUGUCGAGACUGAAGGUAAAUUCCAUUUUCCAAUGGUUCUUUCAGUAGUACUGUUUCAGUCCAAGUUUUCCCAAGACUAGUACUGGUAAUUGUUAUUUCACUAUGUAUUCUUUCCUCAGUCCAUGAAACAUGGGAAAAGUUUCGAUCAUGUCAGAUAUAUAGUUCAAUUUUAUAUAUCAUAAGAAGAAAAGAACAUGUUUUCUAUACGAGAAAAUCAAAAACAUUAUUAGCAAUUCACUAUGUAUUCUACCGUCAGUUCUGUGUGUGUUAGAGAGAGGGUUCGGUGUCUCAUUGUUUUCACUUGCCCCGAAAAAAAUAUAUUCUGUUGCAGAUUAGGAACAUUGUAUUUAGAUUUUUUUAAACAAAGAACUAAUCAGUUCAUAUAAGUUCAAAUGACAAAUCGUCGAAAGUUCAAUCAAAAGCUCUCACCACUUUCCUUUCUAUUUCUUAAUGAUUGUACGGCAUUUCAAGCAUUGAGCAAAAGGGAUUAGUAUAAAUUGCAGAAGUAGUUGCAGGAUGCUUAAGUUCUUUUGACUUUUUUUUCUCUCAUUCUACAUGUACUGACGAGUUGUCUCAUUUUUUCUGGUUUCAAAAGUAGAAGGGGUACAUGUAGAUGCUGGACUACUCAGGGGUCAGGGCCUUUGCCGCUGAUGUUGUGUUUUGUUAGGUCAACACGAAGUACUAGAAUUAUUUUGCAGGAAGCGAAGGCAGUGAGAAGAUGUUCCAGGUGACACGCCCUUCCAUCAAAACAAAAAGUUCAAACAUAGCAAAAAGUCACAGAAAAGGAUGUGAACAUAGUAUACUCCCAUGGUUGUAUGAGUAAACAUACACUAAGUGUAGGCGUUCACCAUGUGCUUUAUCAUCAGUUCAAAAAAAAGCUCUGUGUGUGCUACUGAAAUUGACAUGGUUUAGUUUGCUUUUACUUGUAUGCUACUGAUAGAUCAACAAUAUUUGCUUGUGUACUGAAGUGACUAAUUUGAACCACACUGCUUGUGUACUGAUGUUGUUUGCUUUUGUACACCUGCUUAUAUUUUUUGUGGGAGUCCCAAGUAUAAUUGUUUAAAAAGUACAAAUGAAUGUCUGCAAAAAAGAAAAGAAAAAAAUAUUUGUCGCAUCUCAACAUAAAAAGAAAAUAAAAAUUCAGUAGAUCAAAGGUGAGAAAACAAGAUGUUUAGAAUAAAAAGGAACUUAAAAGAAUACACAGGAAGUUCCCAGUGUGAAAAGAACAUUACGAUCGUGCAAUAUAAAAU
rnacentral:lncRNA from 1 species